ACUUCUUCCCAUUUCCGACUUCUCCGAUCAGAAAACACCACCAUGUGCGGCGACGGCGAAGAGAACAUACAUCGUACAUUGACACUUCCCGCCGUUUUGCUACAUCUUUGAAUUCCUCUUCGUCAUCUCCCAUUUCCAUUGUUUUGCUACAUCUUUGAAUUCCUCUUCGUCAUCUCCAACAAGAUCCAAGCUUUUCUGUGUCGGUUUCUGCCGCCAUUUCCGGCGGCCAUUGACACUUCCCGCCGGGAGUUUAAGAGCAUUCGGUAUACAGUUUGCACACAACCCGUACGCUUGAGUUUCUCUGGCUGGAUGUGGAGUUCGGGCUUGGGGCGGGCCACGGCUCACCGGCGGCGACUGCUGAAGACAUGAUUGUAGGGGUUCUGGUUACCGGGGUGUGGCUGGAGUCGAAGAGCUUCGACGAUUCCGGCAUGACAGAUGUGCCGGCGAGGUGGCGCUGCCGAUGCGAAUCCGCCGCAGAUUUGGACCCAUGCGAGGUGGCGCUGGCGGUGUGAAUCCGUCGCAGAUGUACCAAAGGUUCUCGCCGAGUGAUUAGAGAAAG